GGCAAAAAAGAUGUAGAAGAACUAAUACUCUCUUCUAGACAAUUUUAACAGGUUUAGGACGUUUUCAUAGACAAUGAAGGUAACUGAAGCUGCAGGAACAUUUUUCAGCAUGUUUGGAGUGAUACCUCUGUAGAAGCCUCGUACGCCCUCAAACCUCGCAGUUUCUUUCACAACAUGCCAGCUAUCAAUGUACCUUGGAACUCCAGUUGUACUUGGUCGUUGCUGCAAUCGAGAUCGGACAACCUGAAAUGGGUAUGUUGUAAGAGU
rnacentral:misc_RNA from 1 species